rnacentral:rRNA from 2 species
GACUCUCGGCAACGGAUAUCUCGGCUCUCGCAUCGAUGAAGAACGUAGCGAAAUGCGAUACUUGGUGUGAAUUGCAGAAUCCCGUGAACCAUCGAGUCUUUGAACGCAAGUUGCGCCCGAAGCCGUCAGGCCGAGGGCACGUCUGCCUGGGUGUCACAC